UACGGAGGAUGCAAGCGUUAUCCGGAUUUAUUGGGUUUAAAGGGUGCGUAGGCGGCUUGGUAAGUCAGCGGUGAAAUUUAGGGGCUCAACCUCUACCGUGCCGUUGAUACUGCUGGGCUAGAAUGCGGAUGCCGUGGGAGGAAUGUGUGGUGUAGCGGUGAAAUGCAUAGAUAUCACACAGAACACCGAUUGCGAAGGCAUCUCACGAAUCCGCAAUUGACGCUGAGGCACGAAAGCGUGGGGAUCAAACAGG
rnacentral:rRNA from 1 species